rnacentral:rRNA from 1 species
UACGAAGGGGGCUAGCGUUGCUCGGAAUUACUGGGCGUAAAGCGUGCGCAGGCGGUUAUGCAAGACAGAUGGGAAAUCCCCGGGCUCAACCUGGGAACUGCAUUUGUGACUGCAUAGCUAGAGUACGGUAGAGGGGGAUGGAAUUCCGCGUGUAGCAGUGAAAUGCGUAGAUAUGCGGAGGAACACCGAUGGCGAAGGCAAUCCCCUGGACCUGUACUGACGCUCAUGCACGAAAGCGUGGGGAGCAAACAGG